UACGGAGGGUGCAAGCGUUAUCCGGAUUCACUGGGGUUAAAGGGUGCGUAGGAGGGCAGGUAAGUCAGUGGUGAAAUCUCCAAGCUUAACUUGGAAACUGCCGUUGAUACUAUCUGUCUUGAAUACCGUGGAGGUGAGCGGAAUAUGUCAUGUAGCGGUGAAAUGCUUAGAUAUGACAUAGAACACCAAUGGCGAAGGCAGCUCGCUACACGAAUAUUGACUCUGAGGCACGAAAGCGUGGGGAGCAAACAGG
rnacentral:rRNA from 1 species